UGCAGGCUGCAACUCGCCUGCAUGAAGUCGGAAUUGCUAGUAAUCGUAGGUCAGCAUACUACGGUGAAUACGUUCCCGGGCCUUGUACACACCGCCCGUCAAACCAUGAGAGUUGGCAACACCCGAAGUCGGUAGUCUAACCGCAAGGAGGACGCCGCCGAAGGUGGGGUUGAUGAUUAGGGUUAAGUCGUAACAAGGUAGC
rnacentral:rRNA from 1 species